UACGUAGGGGGCAAGCGUUAUCCGGAAUCACUGGGUGUAAAGGGAGCGUAGACGGCAGGGCAAGCCUGGAGUGAAAGGCGGGGGCCCAACCCCCGGACUGCUCUGGGAACUGCCCGGCUGGAGUGCAGGAGAGGCAAUCGGAAUUCCGUGUGUAGCGGUGAAAUGCGUAGAUAUACGGAGGAACACCAGUGGCGAAGGCAGCGUACUGGCGCCGGACUGACGCUGAGGCACGAAAGCGUGGGGAUCGA
rnacentral:rRNA from 1 species